GUCUAUAGUCAUAUCACCCUGAACACGCCUGAUUUUGUCCAGUCUCGGAAUCUAAGCAGGGUCAGGCCUAGUUAGUACUUGGGUGGGUGAAAUGGACA
rnacentral:rRNA from 1 species